CUUUGCAAACCUGAAAAACAAGUGAACAUCUGGGCAGUUUGAGGGAAGCCCUGCAGUGGGUCCUCUGCCAGCCUGGCACUCUGGGCAGAUCUGGCACCAAAGCCCAGGCAGGGUAGAGAGCUGGAGAAUAGCUUCCUGCAAGGGAGGAUGUGCUCUAAAGGGAUCCCAGGGAAGGUACCAGGAGUUUGGGAUCACUGGAAGGGGAAGGAAUCAGCUCAGGAUAAGGGAGUUCCCAGAAGAGAGAUAGUACAAGCCUGGGGUCUGUUAUCUCCCUGCAACUCCUGCUGCCAGUUCGUGCUAUAGAUCCUCUGCCAAGAGUGGUACCCAAGGGCAGGUACCGGUGAUGGGAGCCCUGUCAGGCCCCAUGUUAGGAAGUCCAGGUGGGGGCUGCUGGGGGCAGAGCAGGCACAGAGGUGCAGGGCCUUGUAGAGAUGCCUUGGGUAUCUAUAGGGUGGGCCCUGUGGCCGGUUUCCUGAGGGAAACUGUGGAAACAAAUCUCCUAAACUGUCCCUCAGGAGAAGGCAGCCUACCCUUACAUCAGGGUGAGCUUAAGACUGAGCAACAUGUGAGGCAGGACCACUGGGCUUGGCCCAAGUCAGGCCCCCAAACCUCUUGAGUGUUCAAGCACUGGACUCCAGGGAAUAUAUUUCGUGUUCCAGGUCAAAUCAGCCAAAUCAGUUCCAACUCCUAUCAAUUAAGCAGGACUCAAUCAUUCAGAAAACCAUCUUGCUUGAGCAGGCAGAACUCAAUCGUUCCAAACGCCAUGUAGGGUGCUACAACUGGUGAGCGUCCUCCAUCCCAGACCCAUCGCCCUGGGACUUCAGAUACUCCCAGAUCCAUUGGCAGGCACCCUAUGCACAGACCCAAGCAGGAGAGUGGUUUCUUCCCAGGAGCCUCAGCCCCUUUCGGAAAGGUGCUGCAUGCCUUUAACUUCCUGACAUGGUGGGUGCCAAGAACUCGCACUCCUCUUCAGAGUGACUAAAGACAAAGUUUCCUUAAGCUUUCCAAGAUGUACUUUAACACCUUAAUCCUAACAAACCAGCCUCAGCCACCUUUUGCUCCCACCUCGAGGCAUUGCUCUUGUGAGCUGAAUUCUGUACAGCACUGAAGUGCUUGUAAUCUGCCUUGUAUUCAUCAGCUUUCCUUUCACUAGGAUCUACUUUGCAGUGAGUCACUCAGCAAUACACAGCAUAAUGGGCUUUAAUUUUCCUUGCUGGGCAGACGUGAAAUGUUCUUUCAUUUUCCGCAAUCCACGGCUGACGCAUGUUUUACUGGCCAGGGCUUGGCUAAGUCUCUGAUGCCUGCAGCUCUGUGCGAUUCUGUUUUGAGGCUGUACCAGCAUCUUCUGGAUUGGGCAGUUCUUCCCCAUGCUACUUGCUAUCUCUGGAGGAUGAUGAAGAAACGUUGGCUCAAAAUGCCACAGAAAGUUCCUUCAGCGUAGUGCUCCAGUUGGAUGUAUAACAGCUUCAUGGAUGGUCAGAUGAAGCAGCUGCACCUUGAACCCUUUGCACUUGGAACUACCAGCUCUACAGACACCAACAGGGGCCUGAGAGCUGAGCUGGUUCCUUGACUCAUUGGGCAUUACCACCAGCAAGACUUUGCAACUCAGAUGUAUUAUGUCCUAAAUGAUACUUAUGAUCCUAACCCUUCAGGGGUUUUACUGAGGCAAAAUCCAUGAGAAUUUACAAGCAAGUCUGUUGCUGAUGCAUGAGACGAAAUAGAGUCAGUCUCACCCUCCUAAAACUGUGUUGGCUUAGAAAGAACUAACAAUAGUAAAAAACAGUAAAAAUAAUCAUUUUUUCUGCCAGGUACAUUCACCCCUGAAUACACAAAUCUGUUGAGUUAGACAAGCCAUUUUUAUGUAAUCCUUUUUGGGAGAAUUGCUUCUCCAGAAGUGAUGAAGUAACGUUUUUACUUACGCAGUAUAAUUAAAUUUUGGAAAGUGGA